rfam:Cavia porcellus supercont2_94 genomic scaffold, whole genome shotgun sequence.
AGCUUUGUGCAGUGGCAGUAUCGUAGCCAGUGAGGUUUAUCUAAGGCAUGAUUAUUACUAAUUGAAAAUUUGGAGAUUAAAAAAAAGUGAACUAUAUGAUAUGUACAUUGGUGCCACAACUUGCUUUGGAGAGG